AGUGGGUUAGCUCAGUGGUUAGAGCUUAGGUCUUGUGACCGGAAGGUCCUAGGUUCGAAUCUCGCCAGAGGCAAAG
rnacentral:tRNA from 1 species